UACGAAGGGGGCUAGCGUUGCUCGGAAUCACUGGGCGUAAAGCGCACGUAGGCGGAUUGCUAAGUCAGGGGUGAAAUCCUGGAGCUCAACUCCAGAACUGCCUUUGAUACUGGCAAUCUCGAGUCCGGGAGAGGUGAGUGGAACUGCGAGUGUAGAGGUGAAAUUCGUGGAUAUUCGCAAGAACACCAGUGGCGAAGGCGGCUCACUGGCCCGGUACUGACGCUGAGGUGCGAAAGCGUGGGGAGCAAACAGG
rnacentral:rRNA from 1 species